rnacentral:rRNA from 1 species
GACGUAGGGCGCGAGCGUUGUCCGGAUUUAUUGGGCGUAAAGAGCUCGUAGGCGGCUUGUUGCGUCGACUGUGAAAACCCGCGGCUUAACCGCGGGCUUGCAGUUGAUACGGGCAGGCUAGAGUUCGGUAGGGGGAGACUGGAAUUCCUGGUGUAGCGGUGAAAUGCGCAGAUAUCAGGAGGAACACCGGUGGCGAAGGCGGGUCUCUGGGCCGAUACUGACGCUGAGGAGCGAAAGCGUGGGGAGCGAACAGG